rnacentral:tRNA from 1 species
UCCUCAGUAGCUCAGCGGUAGUAGCACUCGGCUGUUAACCGAGGUGUCGCAAGUUCGAAUCUUGCCUGGGGAGCCA